rnacentral:rRNA from 1 species
GGGCGUUAAGUUGCAGGGUAUAGACCCGAAACCCGGUGAUCUAGCCAUGGGCAGGUUGAAGGUUGGGUAACACUAACUGGAGGACCGAACCGACUAAUGUUGAAAAAUUAGCGGAUGACCUGUGGCUGGGGGUGAAAGGCCAAUCAAACCGGGAGAUAGCUGGUUCUCCCCGAAAGCUAUUUAGGUAGCGCCUCGUGAAUUCAUCUCCGGGGGUAGAGCACUGUUUCGGCUAGGGGGCCAUCCCGGCUUACCAACCCGAUGCAAACUGCGAAUACCGGAGAAUGUUAUCACGGGAGACACACGGCGGGUGCUAACGUCCGUCGUGAAGAGGGAAACAACCCAGACCGCCAGCUAAGGUCCCAAAGUCAUGGUUAAGUGGGAAACGAUGUGGGAAGGCCCAGACAGCCAGGAUGUUGGCUUAGAAGCAGCCAUCAUUUAAAGAAAGCGUAAUAGCUCACUGGUCGAGUCGGCCUGCGCGGAAGAUGUAACGGGGCUAAACCAUGCACCGAAGCUGCGGCAGCGAACGUAUCACUUAAAGCGAUUCAGCGGGUUACGAUUGACGGAGCGAAGCGACGUCAAAGCGUAUACAAAGUCGAGUCGGUUUAAGGAUACGUUCGUUGGGUAGGGGAGCGUUCUGUAAGCCUG